CCUACGGGAGGCUGCAGUGAGGAAUAUUGGUCAAUGGACGAGAGUCUGAACCAGCCAAGUAGCGUGAAGGAUGACUGCCCUAUGGGUUGUAAACUUCUUUUAUCUGGGAAUAAAAUGUUCCACGUGUGGGAUUUUGUAUGUACCAUAUGAAUAAGGAUCGACUAACUCCGUGCCAGCAGCCGCGGUAAUACGGAGGAGCCGAGCGUUAUCCGGGUUUAUUGGGUUUAAAGGGAGCGUAGGUGGAUUGUUAAGUCAGUUGUGAAAGUUUGCGGUUCAACCGUAAAAUUGCAGUUGAAACUGGCAGUCUUGAGUACAGUAGAGGUAGGCGGAAUGCGUGGUGUAGCGGUGAAAUGCUUAGAUAUCACGAAGAACUCCGAUUGCGAAGGCAGUUCACUGGACUGCAACUGACACUGAGGCUCGAAAGUGUGGGUAUCAAACAGGAUUAGAUACCCGAGUAGUC
rnacentral:rRNA from 1 species